AGAGUUUGAUCCUGGCUCAGGAUGAACGCUGGCGGCGUGCCUAAUACAUGCAAGUCGAGCGAACGGACGAGAAGCUUGCUUCUCUGAUGUUAGCGGCGGACGGGUGAGUAACACGUGGAUAACCUACCUAUAAGACUGGGAUAACUUCGGGAAACCGGAGCUAAUACCGGAUAAUAUUUUGAACCGCAUGGUUCAAAAGUGAAAGACGGUCUUGCUGUCACUUAUAGAUGGAUCCGCGCUGCAUUAGCUAGUUGGUAAGGUAACGGCUUACCAAGGCAACGAUGCAUAGCCGACCUGAGAGGGUGAUCGGCCACACUGGAACUGAGACACGGUCCAGACUCCUACGGGAGGCAGCAGUAGGGAAUCUUCCGCAAUGGGCGAAAGCCUGACGGAGCAACGCCGCGUGAGUGAUGAAGGUCUUCGGAUCGUAAAACUCUGUUAUUAGGGAAGAACAUAUGUGUAAGUAACUGUGCACAUCUUGACGGUACCUAAUCAGAAAGCCACGGCUAACUACGUGCCAGCAGCCGCGGUAAUACGUAGGUGGCAAGCGUUAUCCGGAAUUAUUGGGCGUAAAGCGCGCGUAGGCGGUUUUUUAAGUCUGAUGUGAAAGCCCACGGCUCAACCGUGGAGGGUCAUUGGAAACUGGAAAACUUGAGUGCAGAAGAGGAAAGUGGAAUUCCAUGUGUAGCGGUGAAAUGCGCAGAGAUAUGGAGGAACACCAGUGGCGAAGGCGACUUUCUGGUCUGUAACUGACGCUGAUGUGCGAAAGCGUGGGGAUCAAACAGGAUUAGAUACCCUGGUAGUCCACGCCGUAAACGAUGAGUGCUAAGUGUUAGGGGGUUUCCGCCCCUUAGUGCUGCAGCUAACGCAUUAAGCACUCCGCCUGGGGAGUACGACCGCAAGGUUGAAAACUCAAAGGAAUUGACGGGGACCCGCACAAGCGGUGGAGCAUGUGGUUUAAUUCGAAGCAACGCGAAGAACCUUACCAAAUCUUGACAUCCUUUGACAACUCUAGAGAUAGAGCCUUCCCCUUCGGGGGACAAAGUGACAGGUGGUGCAUGGUUGUCGUCAGCUCGUGUCGUGAGAUGUUGGGUUAAGUCCCGCAACGAGCGCAACCCUUAAGCUUAGUUGCCAUCAUUAAGUUGGGCACUCUAAGUUGACUGCCGGUGACAAACCGGAGGAAGGUGGGGAUGACGUCAAAUCAUCAUGCCCCUUAUGAUUUGGGCUACACACGUGCUACAAUGGACAAUACAAAGGGCAGCGAAACCGCGAGGUCAAGCAAAUCCCAUAAAGUUGUUCUCAGUUCGGAUUGUAGUCUGCAACUCGACUACAUGAAGCUGGAAUCGCUAGUAAUCGUAGAUCAGCAUGCUACGGUGAAUACGUUCCCGGGUCUUGUACACACCGCCCGUCACACCACGAGAGUUUGUAACACCCGAAGCCGGUGGAGUAACCUUUUAGGAGCUAGCCGUCGAAGGUGGGACAAAUGAUUGGGGUGAAGUCGUAACAAGGUAGCCGUAUCGGAAGGUGCGGCUGGAUCACCUCCUUU
rnacentral:rRNA from 1 species